CAGUAGCCGCGGUAAUACGGAGGGUGCAAGCGUUAAUCGGAAUUAAUGGGCGUAAAGCGCACGCAGGCGGUUUGUUAAGUCAGAUGUGAAAUCCCCGAGCUUAACUUGGGAUCUGCAUUUGAAACUGGCAAGCUAGAGUCUUGUAGAGGGGGGUAGAAUUCCAGGUGUAGCGGUGAAAUGCGUAGAGAUCUGGAGGAAUACCGGUGGCGAAGGCGGCCCCCUGGACAAAGACUGACGCUCAGGUGCGAAAGCGUGGGGAGCAAACAGGAUUAGAUACCCCGGUAGUCCCUGUCUCUUAUAC
rnacentral:rRNA from 1 species